AAUAUUUAGGGGCAACAACGUAGAAAUACGUUUACGCAAAGUCUCAGAGCUAAGGGAAAACCUAUGCUAGCUGGACCGCAAUA
rnacentral:ncRNA from 1 species